AAUGAGAUGAUUUUGUAUCAAAGUCUCACAAUCUCACUCACAAACAAAGGAGACCUAUUUUCUUUUGAUUUUCAGGCCAUUAUUCUACUUGUUCUGCACUGAAAGAUACCAUGAGAUAAACCAAUUUUAUUCUCCAAAUAUAAUCACUUAACUAGAUGCUGAGAUUGUUACUCAGGAAGGAAGCUCACAAGAAGAUUGGCUGAAAAGAUGCUCCAGCAUGGAUAGCAGUCCUUGUCCACUUGGAAGUCUAGGGGUGGUUGGCUAACUUUCUGCAAAUGCAAUGAAGUGAGCCUUGUCUAAAUGCACAAAGGAGAGUGGCCUUGUCUCCCACAUAACACCACCCAUAGGUACUUUUUUUCAUAUAUAUAUUUUAUUUUUCUGAAGAUAUUGUCUUCUUUUUUGGUGCAUUGUGGUUCAUGAAAACUUCAAUCUCAAUGAAUGCUCUACUUUUGCCUCCAAAGUCAAGGUUAUGAAGUCAAAAAACUAUUUUCUUUGAAGGCAUCUAGCCAUGGACCUCUUUUGUUUA